CCUACGGGGGGCAGCAGUGAGGAAUUUUCUGCAAUGGGCGAAAGCCUGACAGAGCAAUACCGCGUGAGGGACGAAUGCCUACGGGUUGUAAACCUCUUUUGUCAAGGAAGCGGUACUUACGAAUAAGCAUCGGCUAACUCCGUGCCAGCAGCCGCGGUAAUACGGAGGAUGCAAGUGUUAUCCGGAAUCAUUGGGCGUAAAGCGUCUGUAGGUGGUUUGCUAAGUCCGCUGUUAAAGCUUGAAGCUCAACUUCGAAAAUGCAGCGGAAACUAGUGGACUUGAGUGUGGUAGGGGUAGAGGGAAUUUCCAGUGAAGUGGUGAAAUGCGUAGAUAUUGGAAAGACCACCAAUGGCGAAGGCACUCUACUGGCCUCACUGACACUGAGAGACGAAAGCUAGGGGAGCAAAUGGGAUUAGAUACCCUUGUAGUC
rnacentral:rRNA from 1 species